GACGAACGCUGGCGGCGUGCUUAACACAUGCAAGUCGAACGGAAAGGCCUCUUUCGGGGGGUACUCGAGUGGCGAACGGGUGAGUAACACGUGAGUAACCUGCCCUUGACUUUGGGAUAACUUCAGGAAACUGGGGCUAAUACCGGAUAGGAGCUCCUGCUGCAUGGUGGGGGUUGGAAAGUUUCGGCGGUUGGGGAUGGACUCGCGGCUUAUCAGCUUGUUGGUGGGGUAGUGGCUUACCAAGGCUUUGACGGGUAGCCGGCCUGAGAGGGUGACCGGCCACAUUGGGACUGAGAUACGGCCCAGACUCCUACGGGAGGCAGCAGUGGGGAAUAUUGCACAAUGGGUGGAAGCCUGACGCAGCAACGCCGUGUGCGGGAUGACGGCCUUCGGGUUGUAAACCGCUUUCGCUCAUGACGAAGCUUUGUGUGACGGUAGUGGGUAAAGAAGCACCGGCUAACUACGUG
rnacentral:rRNA from 1 species